rnacentral:rRNA from 1 species
GACGAACGCUGGCGGCGUGCCUAAUACAUGCAAGUCGAACGCAGUGGUGACGGGUGAGUAACACGUGGGUAACCUACCAUCAGAGGGGAUAACAUUUGGAAACAUGUGCUCAACCGAUAUAGAUUGAUGGACUCGGGGUGCAUUAGCUAGUUGGUGAGGUAACGGCUCACCAAGGCCACGAUGCAUAGCCGACCUGAGAGGUUGAUCGGCCACACUGGGACUGAGACACGGCCCAGACUCCUACGGGAGGCAGCAGUGGGGAAUAUUGCACAAUGGGCGCAAGCCUGAUGCAGCCAUGCCGCGUGUAUGAAGAAGGCCUUCGGGUUGUAAAGUACUUUCAGCGGGGAGGCGUUACCCGCAGAAGAAGCACCGGCUAACUCCGUGCCAGCAGCCGCGGUAAUAC